GGGCAGCAAGAUAUGAACUGCUUGGAAAGAGCAUUAGUGGGGGAAAGGAAAAAAAAUGAUCAUUCAGGUAAGGAAAGCAGAAGAAAAUAUGAAAAAAAUGACAGGAAUAUACACAUCAAACAGAUGUGCCCUACGCGUCAAUAAAACACUAACGUCGUUGAACCCAAUUUAACAUAAAGGGUCCAAUUGUUGCAAUUUUCAGAAAAUUGGGACCCAAUUGAGAAACCUAAAAAGAACGGGACGAAAUUGAGAUUCUCCUCCAAAACACAGAGACUUCCAGAAUGAUUAAACCUUAAAUUAAAGAGCCAGUAACUAAGGCUUAACUUGCGCUUUUAAAAUUUCUUUCUCAAUCGUGGAAAAAAUUGUAAGUUACAAACAACUUUGGUAUAACAUUUU
rnacentral:lncRNA from 1 species